UGCAACCUUGCCGAAUGCGGCGACACAUCACCAUUUAAUUUAGUGUUAGAGUGUCAUUUGUGAGUAGGACAUGCGUUUGAUCCGCCACCACAAACAGUCCUCUGGGCGAUCGAACACAGAUCAUAUGGCUCCUAAAAUGAAAAAGUUGUCCCGAGAGGAAUUACUACAGAAAAAGAGAGAAGCAGAGCGACUACGAUACUUUAAAGAAGGGGAAAGAACAUUGUACUGUAUAUCGAGCCAAAAGACUAAGACUGAAAAACAUCACUAAUACUUUUGUUAGAGAAAAUAUGCCUUUAUCAGAUUCAGAAGCAGGUACUCCGUUUACAAGACCCGCCACUCCAGUUCCAGAUCAAAUAUUUCCAUUUGCUAGUCUCCAGCAAAGAAAAAAAGAAGCCACAAAGCGACGAAAGAAGUUUAACUAGGAAAGGAACGAAAAGAUCGUACGUUUAGAGAAAAAACUUAAAAGUAUAAAAAGAGAUUAGAGAGAUUCAAAAUUAAAAACAAAAAGAACGUUGAAGAUACACCUAAGACAAAGAUUUUGAAAAUGUUAGAUGAGCCUGAUCAAAGAAAAGAAGUACUUAAGAAAGCGUUGUUUGGCGACGUCAUUAGUAACCAGUUAAAGGAAAAUUAUACUACACUGAAACUUACAAAAGAGAGACCGAUCUUUUAAAAAGUUGUGACCUAGAGAAAUUAAGUCGUUGCCUAGGCCCGGAAAAAAUCAAAUCUCAAUGGCUUAGAUGUACCUAUAGCUAAACGAUGUAGAAUACCCGAUAUUGAAAACUUUACAUGGAACUACACCGAAAGUGGCCAUGGAAAAGGUGCACCGGAUGGUAUCGGAGCAACGUGCAAAAGAACAGCUGAUUUUGUUGUUAAUUCUGGAGGCGACAUCAAUAAUAUUGAUCAGUUUGUUAAAGUAAUCCGAGAGCGAUGUCAUCCAAGCAUUGGUCGAUAAAGUUGAAGAGGAAGCGGCCGAUCAGAAGGGUUUUAAAGGCACUUUGAAUGUGCAUCAGGUUGCAGGUAUUUAUUCCAGCUCCAUCCUAGGCAUUCCAACUAAACGUAUAACACUUACAAUGAAAAGUCUCAGUUGCUUUUGCAACAGCGGAUCUUGUGAGCAUUAUAAGAUUGGCAGUAUUAACUAUGCUCAAAAACCUAGAUGGACAGUAGAAAAAGUGUUUACUGAGUCAGAACCGGAAGAUUUCGAAUCUGCCAAGCCUGAAAUGAUACGUACGUCUCCUAAGAGGUUGGACGAUGAUAUUGCAGGAACGAGUGGUAUUGGGAAUUCAUGUUACAAUACUGGAGAUUACGUUCUUGUGAAAUAUCCAGCUAAAAAUAUAGAAUAUCGUUAUGCUGCCGUAAUUAAUGAUAUUGAUAACGAUGAAAGUGAGUUACGUGUUACUUUCCUCAAGAUUUGUGUUCAAAAAAUGCAGAUGUUUAGAAUAGAUGAUAAUGAUGUUGCAGAUGUGUCAUUUGAUCAAGUAGUCCAAAAGUUGGAUAAUAUUGACUUGAUUUUAAAAGGAAAGAGAAUAUUUUAUCAGUUUUCUACUCAAGCACAGGUUUUCGAGUGCUAUCUUGUUAAAAUGUUAAGAUCAUUGUGAUAAUUAAACAUUACUAUGUGCCUUAUUUGAUUGAGAAAAAUCUCAGAAUAUAUUACUUUAAGAGUAAAUACUUCCUAAUAAUUAUAUUAAUAAUAGUAUUUGACUAAUAAGACUGCAUAAAGCAUUUAAUAAUUGAUAUUAUAAUAAUAAGACUAAUGUUGAUCUCCGUGAGUACAAAAUGUUUUUAGCACUUAAGGUUAAUUUUUGAUAUGUAUGUUUAAAAAAAGUUUUUUUUGUUAAUCUUUUAUAAAGAUUAUUGAAACGAAAAUAUGUCAUAAAAAUAAUAAAUGAAUCAUUAAUGUAAAA